rnacentral:tRNA from 1 species
AGAAAGAUAAGCUAAGUUUAAGCUCAUGGGUUCAUACCCCAUUUAUGGAGACUACUCCUCUUUCUA